GCUGCACCACAACUGACUCGAGCAAGUAGUUGUCAAGAAUGUGGUCGCCGCUUUACUCUGAUGUUUCGGCGCCAUCACUGCCGCAUGUGAGUGGCACAGUGCGAGAGAUCGGUCUGUGCGUCAUGUAGCACGUAUCAACAAGUUCAGGCCCGAUAUAGAAGAAGAACAAGACUCCGAUUCUGCCAAAGAGCGAGAACCAGUCAGAUGCCCUGACAGAUGCGAAGAAACCCCAGAAGAAGCAGACCACUCUAAGGUGUUCAGAAAUCAGUGGACCGCAGCGGGAAAAAGUCGCAUCAAAGGGUGUGCAGAAAAUGUGUAUCAGACGAUGAAGUACGACAACCGCUUCACUGUCGUUCCUGGCUGGAAGAGUUUACUGACCUUCGCCUCUUCUUCAAAAGAGAACGCCAUCUUGGGGAGGAUUGGAGCAGUUAUGUCCACCUACCUGUCAGAAUUCCGCGGCUGCCGGAGAGAUGUAAAACAAUCGCCGUUACCUUCGUUGAAGACCACCGUAAGAGCGUCCAGCAGAAGGUUAGGUUUCUGGCGUCAAGUUCUUCUUUCAAUUCUGGUUUGCAGUAUGCUUUGAAGCCGCAGGGUCAGAAGAUGUGUGGAACAUGCGCCAAGCUGCUGCGGUUUCCCAUCGAGCGCAAGACGUGCACAGUCUGUGACGAAGUCUUCUGCAGGAACUGCUCCUCACGUGACCUCGCCCUGUCCGUUGUCUGACGACCUUGGAUCGGGGGGACAUCAACCACGAAGUCAGCCAAGUUGAAGCUCGUAUAUUGUACAAAGAAGAGUCAGAGGAACUGGACAAGACCAGUAACCCCACCAUCUGGCACGUUAAUGGCGGGUGGAAUCAGCGUUUCCGGGUGUGUAACGGAUGUCUGAGUAAAAUCAAGCAGGAAGCUGAGUGCCAUCGACUUCAACGAUUCCCUGACUCGCCUCCAGGCGGAGCUCGUGGACUUACAGGAGCAAAUUCGCAGCAGUCCUUGAUGACGAAGAAAACUCUUCCCCUGCGAGUGGAUUGUCCAGGUGGCCUUCUGUCCGCUCAGUGCAUACGUACACUUCCGCCGAGGAGGAAAUAGCAGGGGAGGUUGUCAGCUUCAAAGGUAACUCAGAAGCUGCUGGAGCGAUUUUUGCAAGUGUAUCUCCAACUGGAGCGACUGCGACCAGAAACCUCGUCACAGACAAUGUUGUUCAGACAUGUCAAACAGGCCAUGACCUCCUUCUACAUGAGCAGAAGGUCGAUGGCCGCCAAACGUUUCCACCGCCACGAGUCGCACAUCGCGCUGCCAUCGCCUUACUUCAACCUCUCAUAAACCGUUGUUAUCGCUUUAUUUCAACCUCUGACACAUCCUUUGUGGACUUAACCAACGAUACAUUGUCUUUUGUGUUUUUUAUACCCACAUACAUGUUGCUGCUAAUGAGUUUAAUUAAUUGCCUAGUUGAAGACUACUAUCAGUCAACGUACACAAACCAUUCUAUAUUUAUCACUUUUAAUUCAAGUUGUACUCCACUUUAUUUUAUUUUAUUUUACCUAUAAAUCGUCUACGAUGACAUCCACAUUCUUAUUGAGUUGCCGUGGUAACCACUAAACAGUAGAAACUGAUUCUGGUGAAGACAAUCGUCUGAUUUUUGUUUCGUUUUCAGCUCCCUCUAUUUCAUAUGUACCUUUGCUUUUGCCUGUGGAGUAAAUGGAUGCAAUUCGUCUUGUACACAAAAACAUCUACAAAUUAAAUAAUUGGGUUAGGGUUAAUUAAUUGAUAUUUAUUAUGGAGAGAGAAAGUGCAUGUAUUGUAAAGUUUGUAUGACCGAGGUUAGGGGACUAUAUCAUGCAGUACAACAUGCUAAAUAAAAUAUAAUAAACUACUGUGAA